rnacentral:rRNA from 1 species
CCUACGGGGGGCUGCAGUGAGGAAUAUUGGUCAAUGGGCGAAAGCCUGAACCAUCCCCGCCGCUUUCCUUCUUCCUUCCCUCCUUUUUUUCCCCUUCUUUUCUCCUGGAAUAACGCGCCGUACGUGUACCUCUUUGCAUGUACCGUAUGAAUAAGCAUCGGCUAACUCCGUGCCAGCAGCCGCGGUAAUACGGAGGAUGCGAGCGUUAUCCGGAUUUAUUGGGUUUAAAGGGUGCGUAGGCUGGAUGUCAAGUCUGCGGUGAAAUGUCCGGGCUCAACCCGGGCCUUGCCGUGGGAACUGGCUUGCUUGAGUGCGCGGGAAGGAGGCGGAAUGCGUGGUGUAGCGGUGAAAUGCAUAGAUAUGACGCAGAACCCCGAUUGCGAAGGCAGCUUGCUGAAGCGGAACUGACGCUGAUGCACGAAAGCGUGGGUAUCGAACAGGAUUAGAUACCCGAGUAGUC